rnacentral:rRNA from 1 species
UACAGAGGUCUCAAGCGUUGUUCGGAUUCAUUGGGCGUAAAGGGUGCGUAGGCGGCGCGGUAAGUCGGGGUGUGAAAUCUCGGAGCUUAACUCCGAAACUGCAUUCGAUACUGCCGUGCUUGAGGACUGGAGAGGAGACUGGAAUUUACGGUGUAGCGGUGAAAUGCGUAGAUAUCGUAAGGAAGACCAGUGGCGAAGGCGGGUCUCUGGACAGUUCCUGACACUGAGGCACGAAGGCCAGGGGAGCAAACGGG